rnacentral:lncRNA from 1 species
GCACCAAAAAUCAUAUGGAACAUAUGUAACCUGCAAUCACAAAUGGAAAGAGUUCUAUGGUCCCCAAUCAUAACUGGGUCCGGAUGGAUUAGAGAUUUUUCUUUAACAGUGGUAACAACAGAAGCAACCUUAACAUGCUAAUUCUUAUCUAGACAUUGCCCUAAUGUGAUUCUCAAACAUGCUUUUCUAAAAUCAAUGCAAGUACAAAGACAUGCAUUCAUGACAUGAAAAUAAGCAGACAUGAUGUUGAAUACACAUGGCAAACAAUCAAAGAUAAGACAAGAGCAAGACAGGCAGUUAUGCAAUUCAGAAGAUUCAGUACUCUCUACUUAAACCAAUUAACACAAGUGCAACAGGUAGCAAGUAGAAUUACAUAUAUUCAAUAAUCUUCGAAAAGCAUAUGGAUUAGACACAAGAAAUUAAUAAUCACAUUAUCAAUUCAUACUAAUCCCAAUCUGUUGUUAUAUGGCAUUAUACUAUCUCUAUUACCUAAGUUAGUUUUAGAUCUAACAUGAAGUUCUAAAAGUUCUACUGACACAAGGUAGACAUUCCAUCAUAGAACAAAAUAAAAUCCUUAACAAACAAUUCAGAUUAGAUAAGCAAAUCUAAUUGUACUAGGGAAUCUGAAAGUAAGUGUUUUAACAAAGUUAUACAUGCUAGGAUCAUAACCCCUAAAACUAAGAGUCGUGUUCCAAAGGAAAGCUUCUAAUCUCACCAUUGCAAAUAAUCAAAUCCUAAAUAUUCAUACACAUGUUAAGAAUCUGCUAAAGACACAUGCACAAGAUUAUCAUCAAUCCUAGUUACCAGAACAGUUAUCUAGCAUACUAGUCCAAUCAUUAUCUAUUGUGAUGCUAUCAUGCUUGUGCUUGUGUGUUAAACAACUCUACUCUGAGAUUUAUAACAUGCUUUGAAUAUAAUGAAAUAAGUAUUGCAAAGUUAGAAAGAAUUCGUACCUGAGAUGUGCGAGGUGAGUCAUCUUCAGAGAAUGCUAGGAUAACCAGAUAACCAUAAUCAUCCUUCUUAUCAGCAACUGAUCCAUCUCACACCUUUCCUUAAGUAGCAUAAACACUUGUUGUGAUGCUUCUUUCAAAACAUCCACUUGAAUUUCAGACAAGCCCUGUCAUCCUUGUUUGUCGAGGCUUCAA